rnacentral:rRNA from 1 species
GCGUCGCUCGGAAUGACUGGGCGUAAAGGGCGCGUAGGCGGAUGGUACAGUCAGAUGUGAAAUUCCUGGGCUUAACCUGGGGGCUGCAUUUGAUACGUAUUGUCUAGAGUGAGGAAGAGGGUCGUGGAAUUCCCAGUGUAGAGGUGAAAUUCGUAGAUAUUGGGAAGAACACCGGUGGCGAAGGCGGCGACCUGGUCCUUAGACUGACGCUGAGGCGCGAAAGCGU